UCGCGAAAACUUUGCAAUAAGCGAAAGCUUGACAGGGCUAUCCCGAGUGCCAUCCGCUGAGGAAGGCUUUUUACCCAGUCUAGAACGCUGGGGGAAUAAGGAGAGGGCAAGUCUGGUGUCAGCCGCCGCGGUAAUACCAGCUCUCCGAGUGGUGUGGAUGUUUAUUGGGCCUAAAGCAUCCGUAGCUGGCUAGGUCAGUCCCUUGUUAAAUCCACCGAAUUAAUCGUUGGAUUGCGGGGGAUACUGCUUGGCUAGGGGACGAGAGAGGCAGACGGUAUUUUCGGGGUAGGGGUGAAAUCCUAUAAUCCCGGGAAGACCACCAGUGGCGAAGGCUGUCUGCUAGAACGCGCCCGACGGUGAGGGAUGAAAGCUGGGGGAGCGAACCGGAUUAGAUACCCGGGUAGUCCCAGCUGUAAACGAUGCAGACUAGGUGUUUGGACGGCCACGUGCCGUUCUAGUGCCGCAGGGAAGCUGUUAAGUCUGCCGCCUGGGGAGUACGAUCGCAAGAUUGAAACUUAAAGGAAUUGGCGGGGAGCACCACAAGGGGUGAAGCUUGCGGUUU
rnacentral:rRNA from 1 species